CCUACGGGUGGCUGCAGUGGGGAAUAUUGCGCAAUGGGCGAAAGCCUGACGCAGCGACGCCGCGUGAGGGAUGAAGGUCUUCGGAUCGUAAACCUCUGUCAGCAGGGAAGAACGGUCCCUGUGCUAAUCAGCAGUGAAUUGACGGUACCUGCAAAGGACGCACCGGCUAACUCCGUGCCAGCAGCCGCGGUAAUACGGAGGGUGCGAGCGUUAAUCGGAAUUACUGGGCGUAAAGCGCUCGUAGGCGGUAUGUCAAGUCAAGGGUGAAAUCCCCGCGCUCAACGUGGGAACUGCCUUUGAAACUGGCAAACUGGAGUGGGUGAGAGGAUAGUGGAAUUCCAGGUGUAGGAGUGAAAUCCGUAGAUAUUAGAAGGAACCCCGAUAGCGUAGGCAGGUUACUGGGACGGUUCUGACACUAAGGCACGAAAGCGUAGGGAGCAAACGGGAUUAGAUACCCGUGUAGUC
rnacentral:rRNA from 1 species